AUUGAUCGCUGGCGGAAUGCUUUACACAUGCAAGUCGAGCGGCAGCGCGGGGCAACCUGGCGGCGAGCGGCGAACGGGUGAGUAAUACAUCGGAACGUACCCUGUCGUGGGGGAUAACGAGUCGAAAGAUUCGCUAAUACCGCAUACGACCUGAGGGUGAAAGCGGGGGAUCGCAAGACCUCGCGCGAUAGGAGCGGCCGAUGGCGGAUUAGCUAGUUGGUGAGGUAAAGGCUCACAAAGGCGACGAUCCGUAGCGGGUCUGAGAGGACGACCCGACAACCUGGAACUGAGACACGGUCCAGACUCCUACGGGAGGCAGCAGUGGGGAAUUUUGGACAAUGGGGGCAACCCUGAUCCAGCCAGUCCGCGUGAGUGAAGAAGGCCUUCGGGUUGUAAAGCUCUUUCGGCAGGAACGAAACGGUCCUUUCUAAUACAGAGGGCUAAUGACGGUACCUGAAGAAGAAGCACCGGCUAACUACGUGCCAGCCGCCGCAGUAA
rnacentral:rRNA from 1 species